GACGAACGCUGGCGGCGUGCCUAAUACAUGCAAGUAGAACGCUGAAGGAGGAGCUUACUUCUCUGGAUGAGUUGCGAACGGGUGAGUAACGCGUAGGUAACCUGCCUGGUAGCGGGGGAUAACUAUUGGAAACGAUAGCUAAUACCGCAUAAGAGUAGAUGUUGCAUGACAUUUACUUAAAAGGUGCAAUUGCACCACUACCAGAUGGACCUGCGUUGUAUUAGCUAGUUGGUGGGGUAACGGCUUACCAAGGCGACGAUACAUAGCCGACCCGGGAAGGUGAUCGGCCCCACUGGGACUGAGACACGGCCCAGACUCCUACGGGAGGCAGCAGUAGCGAAUCUUCGGCAAUGGACGGAAGUCUGACCGAGCAACGCCGCGUGAGUGAAGAAGGUUUUCGGAUCGUAAAGCUCUGUUGUAAGAGAAGAACGAGUGUGAGAGUGGAAAGUUCACACAGUGACGGUAUCUUACCAGAAAGGGACGGCUAACUACGUGCCAGCCGCCGCGGUAA
rnacentral:rRNA from 1 species